UACGUAGGUGGCAAGCGUUGUCCGGAUUUACUGGGCGUAAAGAGCGCGCAGGCGGCUGGUCAAGUCCGAUGUGAAAUCUCCCGGCUUAACUGGGAAACUGCAUCGGAAACUGAUCGGCUUGAAGGUGGGAGAGGGUAGUGGAAUUCUCGGUGUAGCGGUGAAAUGCGUAGAUAUCGAGAGGAACACCUGCGGCGAAGGCGGGUUGCUGGGCUGACACUGACGCUGGAGGCGCGAAAGCGUGGGGAGCGAACAGG
rnacentral:rRNA from 1 species